rnacentral:tRNA from 1 species
AAACUGUUUUUUAUUGAUUUGAAAUCAAUAUUUGGAUUUUUCCGCAGUUUU